UGGUUCUUUUUCGGGAAAUGGGUUUUAUCUAAGAAGGUUUCGGACUGGUGUAUGUUGAUAGAAGCAUAGGGUUUCUCGUCACCCUCGUGUGAAUGUAAAGUCUAUUGGGAGCGGGUUUAGAGUAGAGGAGUUGCGGGGUCUUGGAAAUGAUAUUGUUUAUAGCUCUUUGUGGAAAAAGUGGAAAAGGUCCCAUGCAUGCAUGGCAUGCAUGCUUGAAGUUGGCUGGGUACGCCCAGCGUAAUGGAGGAAAGAAAUGCGAGGUGGCAAGGUGAGUACGCCCAACGUACUAGAGGUACGCCCAGCGUACAUCUAUCAUCCAGAAACCCUAAUAUUUUGGGUGUGGAGGCUAUUUAAACAACUUUAAGAGCUCAUAACCCUCCCUAACCCUAGCCUCCACUGUUUAGAGCCGUUUUCCCCAAACCCUAGCCAACUUCUUNGCCUUGGAAAGCUCAUUUUGGCAAAAGAAAAGCUAGAAGAAGAAAGGAGAAGUUGUCAAAGAAGGAAAGGAACGAUUGGAGCUUGUAGAUCUGAAGAGAUAUCAUCCUUUGGAGCUUAUUUGAGGUAUAAAGCUUCUUGCUUGCCAUUUAUUUUGCAUAGAUCUAAGUGUUGUGAAGUUUUAGCAUCUUUCUUGUCCCAAAGUUCUCAUCUUGAUUCAUGCUUUGUGUUGGCCGAGAUUAUCUGUCCUUUCAGACCUUUGGAGAGGUCUUGAGUGAGAAAAAUGAGGUCCCAAGGGCUGUAGUUGUUCCAUGUGUGAGAUAUAUAGGUCUUAAUGGAUUAAGACCUUAGAUUAAGAGCUUUUGGACGUCCCAAGUGAUAAAGUUUGAGACUUUAUGAAUCUUAGGCGUAUUUAGCCUAGGGAUCUGAAGUUUGGGCUUAAGAGCUUAAGCCAUUAAGAGGUUAUAAGGACUUUAUGAGUAGCGAAGUUACGCCCCGCGUAGCGGGUCAGGGCCCCGAUCCUCAGCUGCGUUUUAGUGUGUACGCCCCGCGUACCAAGGAGGGUACGCCCAGCGUACUCCCCCUGAUUGGACCUUAAUAUUGGGCCUUAGAGUUUGGGCCGUUUGUGGGUAGUUGGUUUAUGGGCCAAGUCUGGAAAUUAUGGAUAGAGUGUUUUGGGCCCAAUUAUUGUUAUGGACCUUGGAUCUAGGCCCAUUUGGUGAGGUGGGCCCAAUUUGGUAAAUUGGGCCAAUAUUGGACUUUGUAUAAGAUUUGGACUUUGGCCUUGGCCCGAUAAGUGGAUGUAUGCUUGGCCUAAUGUUUAUUUUGUUAUGAUGGCUAGUUCGGGAUUUGCGGUGAGUUGGUGAUUCGAGAAUCUGCUCUUCAGUUCAGAGUUUCGGCAGUGCGAGGUGAGUUAUCCUCACUAUAUCGACAGGGUCUAAGGCACCAAGGCCGGCCCUUUAUCGGAUUGAGAUCCGGGUAUUUGUUGUUAUGUUAUUGCUUUGAUAUGUUUGCAUCCUGGUAGCUAGGAUGGUAUAUGUUAGAGACCUGGUUAAGGUCGGUUCCCUGAUAUGUAGGGUGAUGCUAUGCUAGUGACCGGUUAGGUCGGUAUCCUGGUUAGGAUGAUGAUAUGUUAUGUGAUCUGUUUGAUCGGCUUGUUGACUGUGAAUUCUUAUAUGAUUGUAUGUUUAUGUGCACAUGGUUGUUUGGACUGGAGUUGGGUUGAGGCGGGUCCUGCUUUGUGCUGUAGGCCAAGAUACCCAGGGCGGACCGGUUGUCCCGAAGGCCCAGCGAGCGGUCCGGAUAGGCUGUAGGCCCCAAGAGGGCGGACCAGACAUGCCGAGGCUCGGAGAGUGGACCAGGCCGACUGAAGGCCCGGUGCGGGCGGACCAGUCAUACUGUAGACUCAGAGAGUGGACCAGGUGGAUUGAAGGCCCGGUGCGGGCGGACCAAUCACACUGUAGACUCGAUGUAUAUGGCUAGACUCGGAGGGUGGACCAGGUGGACUGUUGGCCGGUGCGGCGGACCAGUCACACAGUAGACCCGAAGUGCAUGGCUGUUCUGUGAUCGGAUAUGUUAUGGCAUGUUAUGCGUGUAUGGUAUAUGUGGUUGGUAUUUUGGGGAUAUCUCACUAAGCUUUCGGGCUUACAGUUGUGGUUUUAUGUUUUUCAGGUUCUUCAGGAGACCGUGGCAAGGCGAAGGCGUGAUCGUACCGCUCCUCAUGUUUAUGUUGUGAUGUGAUUCUGGGAAUACUCUAAAUAAAUUGUAUUGAAAACCUUUUUGUAAUAAUUUAAUGAAAUCGGGUUGUUUUUGAAAAGUUUAAAUUGGUUGGAAUUUUUCGGUCGUUACAAGUUGGUAUCAGAGCCUUGGUUUGAGUGAAUUGGAGGAACACUCGUGUGACUCCAGUCUCAAAUCGAGGAGAGUUUUCAAAAGAGAAUUUAAAAUGGUUUUCAAAAUGAGUAAAGGAGGACGCGGAGGUACGAUCAGCCGGAGCCAGUAAGUAACCCCAAAAUACCAUACAUGAUAUUUGUUUUUGAGCUUUGAUAGAACAGCAUGCUAGUGCUAGGCUAGGGAUCUUCAGGAUUUCAUGAUAAUGUUGCCUGAUUUAUGAUGCCUGUUAGCCUAGGGUUUCCUUGUGGGAGAUUUCCAGUGUUCCUCUAGUAGUGAGGGUUGAGCGCUUGUUUUGUAUGUUUUCACUAGGGUGUUGUGGUAGUACUUCAUACAAAUAUGGGUAGGUGUGGAAGGUAGUAUGGGCCCGUACUACUGAAAGCACAGGACCCAUACGCGUAUCAGGGAAACCAUGACCUCUAGGGUUGGGUUGAGAGUUGGUUCCCGGGUUAGUGGGAAGUGUCUGAGAUUUUGUGGUGUUUUUCAGUAUGGAGAUUCCGAGGCAUGCUGGGAGUGGAUCCGGGUCAGGAUCGGGAGCAGGAGAGGGAGUUCCGGGCGGGUCAGUACCGCCCGAGGUUAUUGGUCAGAUGAGCACGUGCGAGUUGGAUGCGAGGAUUCGUGAGAUCCUGCAUGAUGAGGUUGCUGCGUUGUUCCGGGCUGAGUUGCCGGAACUGUUUGGGUCGAUCAAGACCGCCAUGGUUGAGUAUUUUGAUGAGCGCUAUGCAGCUCUCACAGAGACGGCUGUCGCGGCGGCUACAACGGCUGUAGCAGCGGCAGGGGGAGGAGCUGGUCGGGGUUUUCAGUAUCGGGACUUCGAUAAUACGAAGCCUCCCACCUUUGAUGGAGUUCAGGACCCGAUUGUUGCUAUGAGAUGGUUAUCGGACGUGGAGGGGUGUUUCUUCACGUGUUCAUGCCCUGCUGAUCAGAGGGUGAGGUGUGCUCUGAACCUGUUGAGGCUCGGGGCGAAGGAUUGGUGGAGAUUGACCACGGGGUCAUAUUCGGAUGCGCAGAGGGCUGCGGUUUCAUGGGAUCAGUUCAGAGAGAUGUUCAGCACUCGUUAUGUUCCGCGGGUUGAGAGAGAAAGAUUGGCUCAUGAAUUCCUUGAGCUGAAGAAGGACUCGGAGUCGGCNAGAUCACCAGGAUGUUCACUGAGAGGGCGAUGUUUUGCCCAGAGUUUGCUUCGGAGCAGGCUCAGAUGUCUCGAUAUCUGAGCAUGCUCAAGAGGGACAUCAGACCGUUUGUCUCUGCUCAGAGGUGCGGGACCUUGCUGGAGUAGCAGGAGGCCGCCAGGCGGCGUGAGUUAGAGAUUGAGUUGCAGUUGCGUGAGCUGAGGCAGGCUCCGGUGCAGUCGCAUCCGGCGCCAAAACGGUCCAAGACCGUUGAUUCUAGGGUGGGAGAUCAGAGUAGCCACACUUGUGGGAACUGUGGGAGGAGUCACACUGAAGUUUGUAGGUCCGGUGGUGCGUGUCGCAAGUGCGGAAAGGAGGGGCAUUAUGCGAGGGAUUGUCGGCAGUCAGCGCCGGUUCGGGAUUUGAGGAUUUGUUAUCAUUGUCAUCAGGUUGGACAUUUGAGGGUCAACUGUCCACAGCUUGCUGCAGGACCGGUGCAGGCUCCAGCACCGGCCACUUUGAGGAUCACGGGUGGAGGUCAGGGUGGAGCGGAGCCCCCAAGGGCUCAGGGUCGUGCUUUUCAGCUUGCAGCAGAGGAGGUCAGAGCAGUGCCGGAUGCAGCUGCGGGUAUGUUUCUUUCUUGAUGUCUUGUUAUCUUGUGAUUAUUGUGGAGUAGUGUUUAUCUGCUAGUCUCAUUAUGUGAUUUUCGGUGUGGUAUUUGUUGUUCUUCGAGGGUUAUGGUUUGGUUAUGGAUUGGUGUUGGGAAUUUCGUUGGUUAUCAUUCAUGGGGGUUAUUAGUGGAAAUCUGGCAUCUGAUUUGAGGGAUGGGUAGCAUGUGCAUUCUAAGGAGAAGUUAGCUGCAGAUCGAGUUUCUUUUGAGCUCGGUCCGAUCAGCGUUGAUAUGUGUUUUGUGAAGGUUGUUUGCGCUUGCGGGACGCGGUUCGCGUGUAAGUGAUUGUGUUGUGUAAGGUUGUUGAGGGAGGUCGAUGUUGGCAAUCGGUGAUUGAUAGUCAGUGCUAUAAGUGGGGGAGAAUUGGAGAAUUCUCCGGAAGAUCGAUGAGCAUUGGAGGUUGUUUAGCUUCUUGGGAUUCAGCAGUGUUCUACCAGCCAAGAGGGUAGACUGGUAUGAGUAAGUGGCAGGCAUGCGGGGCGGGAUACAGACCUAGGGCAUUUGAUUGUGGAGGGCCUGGGAUCUGGCCAGGAUUGAGUAUGUAUGAUGGAGAUAGAGUUCGGAACCCCUAGAGGGCUAGAACAAUAUGCAUGGGAGGGUUUCCCAGAGAGAUAACUCGUAAUGAUGGAUGCUAGUUGAGCGGACCGGAUAGACUGAAGGCCGGUAGGCGUACCAGUCAGGCCGAAGGCUCAGAGAACGGUCCAGAUUGGCUGAAGGUUCUGAGAGUGGUCCAAAUUGGCUGAAGGCCUGGUAAGGCGGUCCAGUCAUGCUGAAGACUCUGCAGGUAUUGUUAGAUCGGUUCGAGGAAAUGGAUUGAGUAUGUCGCAAUAUGUUAGCAUUGGAAGGUCUGGCCCCGGGUAUUGAUCUCGAUUAGUGGAGAUGGUGCAUGGACUCGAGAGUCCUUGCGAGCAGAUUCAGAGCAUGUGUGUUGCAUGGAUAGCGGUUAUGCUAUAAGGGAGUGGUGUAGCAUCGGGCGAGCACCAUGGCACUUGUCGUAGUGACGAGGCAGCCAAGUAGAUUUCCUUGGUANGAGUGUAAGUUCACGGAAGUGAAAGUAGCAGCGCAGAGUUAUGAUUGGAGUAGUCCAAUUAUGGUCAUUGAGCAGCAUGAUUGCGGCAGUGGUAUGGGAUCACAUCCGGGUUGGAUGGUUACUAAUGCUUGACAGGAAUGCAUGGAUGGAAUCUCGGAUUUCCAGUUAGACUUUGUUUUAUGUGAUGGAAAUUCAUCCGGAAGGAUGUUUGGAAGUGUCAUCAGUGUAUCAGGUUUUUCCUAACCCGAGGACACCAGGGCCAGUUCAGUGUGGUUAUGAGAUUGCGGUGGAGAACUCGUGGGAGUUGCUCUGAGGCUGAAGCAUGUGUCAUCCUGUCAGCAAGAAAGGUAAAGUUGGGUUUCGGAUCUCGAUGGUCGACUCUUGAGGAACCUGGUCCGGUGAAUGCCAGGUGGUGCAUUGUGGGGGUAGUUCUGGAGUAGAGUUGUCGCAAGCUUCGAGGGCGAAGCCUAAUUUAAGUGGGUAGAAUUGUAACACCCCGUUCUUAAAGUAUUUAAUUAUGAGUCCCUGAGAUUUAAGAGGAAGGGUAAUUCUGGUUCUUUUUCGGGAAAUGGGUUUUAUCCAAGAAGGUUUCGGAUUGGUGUAUGUUGAUAGAAGCAUAGGGUUUCUCAUCACCCUCAUGUGAAUGUAAAGUCUAUUGGGAGCGGGUUUAGAGUAGAGGAGUUGCGGCAUAUUGGAAAUGAUAUUGUUUAUAGCUCUUUGUGGAAAAAGUGGAAAAGGUCCCAUGCAUGCAUGGCAUGCAUGCUUGAAGUUGGCUGGGUACGCCCAGCGUAAGCUGGACGUACGCUCAGCGUAAUGGAGGAAAGAAAUGCGAGGUGGAAAGGUGAGUACGCCCAACGUACUCUUAGAAACCCCAAACCCUAAAAUUAGGGUCAGCCAUUAUAUAAGGAACAUGUUGGUGCAUACCCU
rnacentral:lncRNA from 1 species